UAAAAUAAAAAACGAAAGAAAAGAAAACUGAACACGGGUCUCACAGACCCGAUUACCAUACAAGGGUUAAAAGCAGUAAAUUAAAAGCAGAAAGACACAGGGAGUUGCCUGUUGUUUUGCGAGAAGUUGCUCGUUAAGUGAGAGUUGCUCACCCAAACAAAAAUUGCUAGCAAUAAAUUUAAAGUAACCUCAGCUGUGCCGCAGCGAAAUACUAACAUAAAUCCUUCAAAGCGUGUAAACCCCUCUGGAAAUCACUGAACAUGGGUCAGAAUAAUUCAAAGACCACAGACAGGUCCGAUAAAAAAUCUAAAGUACCUGUAAAACCAAAAAUUAAUAAAAUACAAAAUAAAGUCUCAAAUAACGGCUCAGUACAACUCCCAUUUCCGGUUACGUGUAACCUACGUCCGCGAAUCGGUGAAGACGUCCAUGAUCACGUAUCCAGAACAUGCGGAAGUGCUUACGUGACUGACUUUGUUUACAACUUAAGAACUGUAAGUUCAAUGCAUUCUAAUUUAUUUCCGGAGCCCUAUCCCGAACGAUUAUCGCCAGAAAACAGGUCAGUAAAACUGAAGGCCAGUGCAGAUACUACCACGAAAGCUAAAAGUGUUAAGAUGAUGUUGAAUUUUGAUGUAGAAGGCUCAGAGGAAAGUGAGAAACUAAUGUAUGCAGGAUCAUCCGCUCCAGCACAGCAAGGAAGUUUCAGAGGACGGAGAGAUAAAAGUAGCGGAGCUCUUCCAGUCAAGGUAACUGGCAACCACAAGCUAGAGGUGCAAAUUUAGCUCAGUUUUCCAGCAGCCGCAGACACCCAGAGCAAAAAUGAAUUUGUGUAUUUCAUUUAACACAAAGGGUGAAAUGUUUGCUGACACUGAUAACAGCUUAUGUUUUCUCUGCCCUAUGUAUCGACAUGAUGGAGAAGGAACAGCCUCUGUGUCAGCUGGACCCUCAGCAGAGAAUGAACUCAACAUCCUUUUUGUCCGGUACUCUAUGUCACACACUGUGCCAAAAAAAACGUGUACAGACGCCACUACCAGGUAAUCCCAUGACUGGGAGCCACACUUUUGUUUCUCUCACACUGUUCAACAACAUGAUAACUGCUCACACAAGUGAAGGUCAAACAGUGAUUUUGUCACAUAACUCAGACAUAGUUUAUGACAUAACUAUACCAUGUUGACGACACAUAGAUCUAACCUACCCUACCCACUGUACUAUUUCUGCAGUUACAUUGCCAGCUGAAUACCAGAAUAUGACAUUAUGGUCAAAAAGUGAGAAUGAUAUAGGAUUUAUUGACUGUACACUUUAUCACGCACACCUAUUAAAACACAACAAGCCAGUAUAUGUCAAGCAAUGUCCCAUUUCUGCCGAAAAAGCCGCAGCCCUAGAUGUCAUGAUAGGAGAUUUAUUGACUAUAGGAGUAAUAAAGCCCACACUCCUGACAAUCCUGUGCCAAAGCCUAACAAACCUGGCGUAUGGCGUUUCAUACAAGACUUAAGGCAAAUUAAUGCAGUCAACAUUCCUCUGCCACCUCUCGUUUCAGAUGUUCACAACAUAUUGACAUGCAUUGCAUGCACAUUUUACCGUGGUGGAUUUAUGCUCUGCCUUUUUCUCAGUACCUGUGCAUGAAGACACACAGCCGUUAUUUGCAUUCACACAUAGAAAUAAGCAGUACACUUGGACUCGUUUGCCCCAAGGCAUGGUAGACAGCCCUGCUGCUUUCUCAAUGGUGGUCCGUGCUACCCUGGACAGCUUCACUCCUCCAGGGCUGUACUGGAUGACCUCCUCCUCUGUGCUGAAAGUGAAAAACUAUGUCAAACUGCUACACACAUGCUUCUCCAGCACCUCCAACAGACUGGCCACAAAGCAUCAGCAAAGAAAAUGCAGUACUGUCAGACUUCUGUUCAAUAUUUGGGAUUCACACUGUCUCACGGAAAACGUUCCAUGACUGCAGACAGGGUCAAAGCUGUGACCUCUGUCCCUCGGCCCACUACACAGAAGGAAAUGUGUCCUUCUUAGGCAUGGUGAACUAUUGCAGACAGUGGAUACCAGACUGUUCUUUUCAUGACCACAUUCUGCGUGACUGUUGUAAAAAAGACAAGCCUCCUCGAAUACUGUGAUCCACAGAAGUGACUGCCUCUUUCAAUGCAUUAAAGGGAGUGCUGACCUCCGCCACUCAAAGGUGCUGCCUGAAUUGUUCAGGGAAUGCCGGCCUGCCUGAGGGCAGUAGCAGCUUGCUCUAUCAUGAUAAGGGACUGCGAGAAGUUUACACUCUCACAUGACACUAUUCUACACACCAAUCACCAGGUCACGACCAUUCUAGCAAACAUAACUACACAACAUGCAAAUCUCACUAUAAAAGCGAGCAGCACACCUGAUUCGCCAGCACAUUUAUUGAUCCUAUGCUGUGUUCUUCUGACCGACAGGAUGGCUCAGACAGGCUUGACGAUCAUGACUGCAUGACACGUAUACAGGAAUCCACAGCACCACGUCCAGAUUUAGAGCAAACACCUAUCCCAGACUCAGCCACGGUUUAUGUGGACGGGUCCUGUUCAAGGCCGAAUGACAACUCAUUUCUUUGUGGCUAUUCAGUGGUAACAGUGCCUGACAUACUAGAGGCUCACUCAUUACCAUUUCACUCAGCACAAAAAGCAGAGCUCAUGGCUUUAAUACGCGCCUGUGAGCUCCAUUUGGAUAAGCGUGUGACAAUUUACACAGACAGCCGCUAUGCAUUUGGCGUCGUGCAUGACUUUGGCACAUUGUGGAGACAGAGAGGAUUUAGAUCUGCUGAUGGAAAACCGAUUGCUAAAUUCUGAUUUUGUUCAAAGACUUUUUCAGGCUAUACAGCUGCCAUCGGCCGUUGCAGUUGUAAAAACGAAAGGACACAGUACAGCUGACACAGACGAAGCAACAGGUAAUGCUUUAGCAGACGUGACAGCCAAGGCUGCAGCUGCAUCACAGCUCCCACCUCCGCAGGAAGUAUUAUCUGUGCCCCUACAGCUGCCACUUGUUACACUCCCAGACUAUUUAGAAACAAAUGUUGAUUUAAAAUUCAUACAAGAGCAAGCCUCUGCAUCUGAUUACACCUAUUGGGAGAAUAAUGACUGUACCUUAGAUGACAGAGAUGGCUUAUACAAAAAUUUUAAGGGUUUGAUUGCCCUCCCAUAUUCCCUGAUGCCAGUCCUUGCCCGACAUUUUCACUGUGUGAGUCAUGUCGGACAAAGAGGGGUAAUAGGGACAAUAAAAUCAAGAUUUGUAAUUGAGAAAACAUCACAUGCAGUAAAAAGCAUAUUAGCAACCUGUCUAACAUGUGCACAAACUAAUGUAGGGAGACCAAAAGCGAAACAUCAGCAUUUACCACAACCAGAUUUUCCAUUUCAUACAUUAUGACUCCAUCUGCAGUAACCAAAUUAUUUCCAUUUGAAAUAAGACUAUUUCCAACACCAUGGUCAGCUUCCAGAGGGGCACCGCUAGUAGAAGGUGAUGUAUAUUGCAUUGUCCACUGAUGUUCACAAUCUGGUAGAAAAACUGAAUAAUAACUAUCAGAAAGUUUGUCUCUCUCAGCCUUUCCCCUCCACAGUUCCACCAGUGGAGACAAGGAGACGCGUGUUGGUGAAGUUGCUAAAACCAAGGACACUCGGGGAGGCCGCGUUUUCCAGCCCCCAGACUGUACUGGCAGUGACGAAGAACCAGCAUCCUCACAGACGGACAACCUCAGUGGAUUCAUGCCAGCAGGGUUAAGACCAGCCCAAUCGGACCAUCUCAGGCGUCGGAUCAAGUAGAUGACAUCUCCGGCGGGCCAGCGCCAGGAUCCAAUUCAAUCCACUACACACACACAAUCACUGAUUAACACACAACGCCUGAAAGAGCCAAGACUCAGAGAGCUCUUUGAUGCUUCACCUGAACAACAAAAAGGUACUCGAACAUCCAGCAGGAAUAGGAAGCCAAAAGUACCAUAUGAUGUCUAAUCUGAUAAAGCCAGACUCAUUCCAUCCUGAUAAUGGAGAAAAUGAAAUGCCCAUUGUCAUCACACGGCACUUAUUCUGUGUCUCUCGAACCUGGGACCAGGCCAGGAGACGACUGAAGAACUGUUUUUCUUAUAUAUUUAGGUUAUUUAUCAUAUCUAUCGCAUUAACCUUAGGAUUUUUCUUUGCUAUUUUGUAUUGUAAACUGCAACCAUGUUCACAUUUCUGCAGGUCAUAUUUGCUGACUAUACCUCAUGCUCUAUUUUGCAAGACACAUACUUAAUGCACUCCUUACGUUCCCUAAAAUCAGUAAAUAGCAACAUAGACGCAACUAAUAAACCAUCUUAUGCGCCCUCUAGAACAGGAGUUAACUCCUGGUAUGAAAAUGCUAGAACAGCUGCUCGUGAUUUAGGAAACAGUAACUGUUAUGUCUGUUCAAAGGCUAAUCCAGAACAGGUCACGGUCAGUGGCUACAUAAGUGGCUACAGGACACGUUUGGAAAAUGGAAGGAACUAAUUGUAGCCUUUGUCACCAUUGUAGCAUGUAUUAUUUGUUCUUGAUAAUUAUUGUCUGUUGUGUGAUACCAUGUAUACGCUCUCAGAAUUUUUGAUAUUGAGCUUACUCGAAGGACUAGUUACAUUUAUGAUUUGUUUCACAUUUAUGAUUUGUUUUUAUAUUAUGUUAUUACAUUCUGUCUUUAUACUAUGUUAUCAUUUCAUGAUAAAAGGGGGGAACUGUUGUGAUAUUUUGAUACCAUGAUAGCAUUUACAGGAUAUUGUUUUAUAGUGAUAUCAUACAUGAAACUGUUACUCAAUAAGGCCCAUUUACUAGUUGUUUUUCUCUUUCUCUGUGACCCAAGAAUUAAUGUGUAAGACUCACAGGCUGGUACCCCAAGGUCGAAAACACCACAGAGACGAGACCACUUCCUUACUCCCAUCCUCCCUUUUUCUUUAUCUCUUAGAAAAGGCUCGUUAAAGGCCAGGUGGUUUGUUUCAGAAUUCACUAAUGAAAGAACUCUGUAUUCUAUGUCUAGGAGUGUAUUUUGCUGGGAUGAUCAUAAUUUAUAGCUGAACUGAUAAACUACACAAAGGAUACUUCUUUGCUCAGUAGGCAGGAAGACAUUUCCUUAUUUGGUCUGUACCGGUUUGAACUGGGAAAACUGACACACGAACCUUUUUUCCUCUAUAUAAACUGUUGUGUACCAAAUAAACCUUUGAGUCGAUUGGGAAGGCAACCUAAA